GGGCCCGUAGCCUAGCAUGGAUGCGAUGGACAGAUCAGUCCUAAGCCAGAAAGCAGAUUCUACCAAAGGUGGUAUUUCUGACAUGGAUUAGGGCGUCAGCCUGCGGAGCUGGAGAUCGUGGGUUCAAAUCCCACCGGGCCCG
rnacentral:tRNA from 1 species